CUACGGAGGGUGCAAGCGUUAAUCGGAAUUACUGGGCGUAAAGCGCGCGUAGGCGGUUUGAUAAGUCGGAUGUGAAAUCCCCGGGCUCAACCUGGGAAUUGCAUUCGAUACUGUCAGGCUAGAGUGUGGUAGAGGGAAGUGGAAUUUCCGGUGUAGCGGUGAAAUGCGUAGAUAUCGGAAGGAACACCAGUGGCGAAGGCGGCUUCCUGGACCAACACUGACGCUGAGGUGCGAAAGCGUGGGGAGCAAACAGGAUUAGAAACCCUAGUAGUCC
rnacentral:rRNA from 1 species